AAUUAGGUGGAUUGCCAAGAAAUCCUGGCACGCAAGAACACACUGCCUGACCAUUUAUAGCUCUGCACUGACUGUUAGGUCCACAAGGAGAUGGAUUACAGGGAUUUACCUGUACUUGUUCUAAAUUCAGAAAUAAUGAAAUGAAAGCAUUGCCAGCCAUUCCUGCUGGACAAGAACACAUGGGUAUAUGAUUCAGAACAUUGCAAAUUGCGUUCCUACCACAAGUGCCUGGACAUGGGUCCACACACUUGUUUUGAACACAAGCUCUAUUCAAAGGACAGUCAUUGUUGAGAACACAUUCAGGACGACAGCUAGUGGUGAUGGAUUGCAGGGGUCUGAUUCAGGGGAUGGCACUGUAAGAAUUUUUCAAAUAUAGAAAUCAUCAACUAAUCGAUUUCUGAAUAAAAGAAAUCUUACAUUGUGGUGGCAUUGGAUAACAAUUUGUGAAAGGAUCUCCAGUGUAUUCUUGAAGACAGAUACACAUAGGACAGUCAGAAUUGAUGAUACACUCUGGUCUGCAGUUUGGAGGACUUCCAAUGUAAGUAGAUAGACAUUGACAGGAUGGACCAUUAUUAAUUACACGACAUUCGGAAUUUGGACCGCAAGGAGAAGGCAAACAUGGUUGUGUAACUUCGACUGAUAUAGGUGGUAAAGCUUCUGAAAGGCGAAAUUUGUUUAAUUCAGAAUUGAAUCAAUUGGUAAUCGUAAAGUUUUUAGAUGUGUCAAAAUAUCUUACGUGGAAUAGGGAAACACAUGGUGAAUGGAUCUCCUGUGUAUAAUUCUCUGCAGGCACAGAUUGGACUGUGAUUCCUGAUCAUACAGGUGGCGAACGUGCCACAAGAAGUAGGACAAGGGUUCACGCAUUUCUGAUUGACACAUGCACGAUCUUGAGGACAUUCUGAGUUCAGAACACAUUCUGGACGACACAUGGGAGGUGUGCCUGUGUAUUGUGGCAAACAAGAGCAGACACCUUGGCCAUUUACUACGCGACAUUGACUAUUUGGUCCACAGGGUGAUGGAUUGCAUGGAUCUUUGAAUUUUGUUUCAUCUUCUAUGGGAGUAAUUUUUAUUUUUAUUAAUAAGUUGAAAUUUUUGAAAUUUUAGUCUUUAAGCUCUUUAUAAACAAUAUAUCAUGAAAAAUUAACUUUUUAAUUCAAUUGAUCAAAAUUUAUUUCAAAUGCAAAAAAAAUUUUCAUUAUAUUUAUUAAUAUCUUUGAAAGUUCAUACCUAUUUCACGAAUCAAGGUACAAUAGUGGAAAGGAUUUCCACUGUAACCUUGAAUGCACGUACAUGCAGGACGAUGAUUGAUAACUUUACAUUCUGUAUUCGUGCCACAAGUACCUAGACAUGGAUCUUGACAUUUGGAGCAAAUACAACUCAAUAUGGAUGGACAGUCCGUAUCAACGACACAUUCAGGUCGACAGCCUUCAUAGGGGUUACCAAUAUAAUCGGAUAAACAAGAGCACGAGCCUACACCAUUUUGUUCUUUGCAUAUCGCAUUGAACCCGCAUGGAGAUGGGGUACAUGGAGAAAGAUUUUCAGGGACAGCUAGAAAGUUGCAAAACAAAUAAUAAAAUUAUUGAAGGAAAAAAAUUAUUAAAUUGUCUUGUAAUUAUAAUCAAAGAUUUUAAUUGCUCAACAUCACUUUUUAUGUCAAAAUUUAAACGAAGUUUGAACGACAAAGAGAAACGAAAAUCUUUGAUAAUUAUAGAAAGAUUGAAAAAAAAAAAGAAAAAUAUAUCUUGAAUCUUACAUGGUCUAAGUAUACAUUGUAUGAAAGGAUCGCCACUAUAAUCGCUGGGGCAAACACACAUGGGUGUAUGACUGACAACACGACAUUCAGCAUUAACUCCACAAGAUCCAAGACAAGGAUCUUUGCAUUUCUGAUUCAUGCAGGCCAAAUCACUGGGACAUUCACUAUUACUAACACAUUCUGGUUUACAAUUAGGAGGGGCGCCUACAAAUUCUGGUGAACAGGAACAAGAGGAAUACAUCGAACGAAAGGAUCCCCUGUAAAUCCGGGCAAACAACUGCAUAUAGGAUUAUGAUUGACGACGUUGCAGAUUGUACUGAAUCCGCAAGAACCAGGACAAGGAUUUACACAUUUCUGAUUACUACAAGCUUCUGAUAAAGAACAAUCAGAGCUGACUGUGCACUCUGGUCGACAGGCAGGUGGUGCACCGAGAUAUCCUGCUACGCAGGAACAAACUGGUUGUUGAUUGAUCACUCGACAGACACUAUUUGGUCCACAGGGUGAAGAUACCAGAACAAGGAUUGAUACACUUGUUUCUCACACAAGCUCGAUUUUGGGGACAAUCUGUAUUCAAUACACACUCUGGUCGACAACCUACAUAAGGAUCACCCUGAUAUUCUGCCAAACAUGUACAAACACCAUCGUUGCACUGCGCGUUUGGACCACAAGGUGAUGAUGCACAAAGAUCAACGAUAGUUGGUUCAGCUGUGAAACGAAUAAAUGAGCAGGAUAACAAUUGCUGAAAGGAUCACCAGUGUAUUGUUCGGGACAAGUACAUACUGGCACGUGAUUGUAAACCGUGCAUAAGGACGUAAUGCUACAAGAUCCUUGACAAGGAUCUCUGCAUUUCUCGUUCAUGCAAGCAAGAUUCAUGGGACAAUCGGAGUUGACACGACAUUCUGGUCGACAGGUCGGUGGAGAUCCAAUGUAUCUUGGCAAACAGGAACAAGAAGGUGUGCCACCAAUAUUUCUGCAUUCCGCGUACAUGCCACAUGGGGAUGGCAUGCACGGAUCUUUGGGAGCCAAGUCAAAGUCAUUCUUGGGCGAUUCUAAAAUUUAUUGGUAACAUUAUUGCAUGAUAAGGCCAUAUGAUUGAAGCGAUUUAUAUGGAUUUACUUAAGAACGUAAUCGUCAAUCUUAGAUGAUUGUAGUUCUAAAUGAUGAACUGUGAUUGAAGCAAUUCAUAUGAAUUUACUAAGCUGAAUAAUACUCUUGAUAAAGCUUGAA